rnacentral:rRNA from 1 species
GACGAACGCUGGCGGCGUGCUUAACACAUGCAAGUCGAACGGAAAGGCCCUGCUUUUGUGGGGUGCUCGAGUGGCGAACGGGUGAGUAACACGUGAGUAACCUGCUCUUGACUUUGGGAUAACUUCAGGAAACUGGGGUUAAUACCGGAUAGGAUCUCCUGCUGCAUGGUGGGGGUUGGAAAGUUUCGGCGGUUGGGGAUGGACUCGCGGCUUAUGAGCUUGUUGGUGGGGUAGUGGCUUACCAAGGCUUUGACGGGUAGCCGGCCUGAGAGGGUGACCGGCCACAUUGGGACUGAGAUACGGCCCAGACUCCUACGGGAGGCAGCAGUGGGGAAUAUUGCACAAUGGGCGGAAGCCUGAUGCAGCAACGCCGCGUGCGGGAUGACGGCCUUCGGGUUGUAAACCGCUUUCGCCUGUGACGAAGCGUGAGUGACGGUAAUGGGUAAAGAAGCACCGGCUAACUACGUG